GACGAACGCUGGCGGCGUGCUUAAUACAUGCAAGUCGAACGGAAAGGCUCUGCUUUUUUGGGGUGCUCGAGUGGCGAACGGGUGAGUAACAAGUGAGUAAACUGCCUUUGACUUUGGGAUAACUUCAGGUAACUGGGGCUAACAACGGAUAGGUGCUCCUGCUGCAUGGUGGGGGUUGGAAAGUUUCUGCGGUAGGGGAUGGAUUCGAGGCUUAUCAGCUUGUUGGUGGAGUGGUGGCUUACGAAGGCUUUGACGGGUAGCCGGCAUGGGAAGGUGACCGGCCACAUGGGUACUGAGAGAGGGCCCAGACUCCAACGUUAGGCAGCAGGGGAAAAUAUGGCGCAGUAAGCGGAAGCCUGAUGCGACAACGCCGCGUGCGUGAUGACGGCUUGCUAGUGAUAAAUCGCUUUGUCCUAUGACUACAUGUAAGUGACGGUAAUGGGUAAAGAAGCACCGGCUAACUACGUG
rnacentral:rRNA from 1 species